rnacentral:rRNA from 1 species
UAGGGAAUCUUCGGCAAUGGGCGAAAGCCUGACCGAGCAACGCCGCGUGAAUGAUGAAGGCCUUCGGGUUGUAAAAUUCUGUUAUAAGGGAAGAAUGGCUCUAGUAGGAAAUGGCUAGAGUGUGACGGUACCUUAUGAGAAAGCCACGGCUAACUACGUGCCAGCAGCCGCGGUAAUACGUAGGUGGCGAGCGUUAUCCGGAAUUAUUGGGCGUAAAGAGCGCGCAGGUGGUUGAUUAAGUCUGAUGUAAAAGCCCACGGCUUAACCGUGGAGGGUCAUUGGAAACUGGUCAACUUGAGUGCAGAAGAGGGAAGUGAAAUUCCAUGGGUAGGGGUGAAAUGGGUAGAGAUAUGGAGGAAAACCAGUGGCGAAGGCGGCUUCCUGGUCUGUAACUGACACUGAGGCGCGAAAGCGUGGGAGCAAACA